rnacentral:lncRNA from 1 species
UUUCACCGUCGGCUUCCCCCUCCCCCUGCCUUUUCUUCUGUUUAUGAUAAGAAAAAGGGAGGAAUGUUGGUAUCAGGAGACAGCUUUCACCUCCAAAGCCAUCGGUGACGUCAUCCACAGACGACAGGGACCCACGCAUCUGUUGCCAUGGCAAUGGCCAUACAUUCCCAGGGUCCAUUCGGUUUACCUUCCACCUUUACCUUCAAGCGGUUAUGUCAGUUUAAAUAGAAGCAGACCCUUCCUGACCUUCAGCCCUUCUUCUCCCUUCUUCUUUUUCUCUCUUUCCCCCUUUGUCUCCCCAAUAAACCCCUCCCACAUGAAA